rnacentral:rRNA from 1 species
GGGGGGGGGGGGGGGGGGGGCGGGGGGGGGGGGGGGGGGGGAGGGGGGGGGAAGGGUGGUUGGCUGGGGUUGGCGGCGGACGGGUGAGUAGGAAGUGGAUAAGCUACGUAUAAGACUGGGAUGAGUUCGGGAAAGCGUAGCGGGUACCGGCGAAUAUUUUUAACCGCAUUGUUCGAAAGUGAAAGACGGUUUUGAUGUCAUUGAGAGAUUGAUCCGCGCUGCAUUAGCUAGUUGGUAAGGUAACGGCUUCACAAGUCAACGAUGCAUAGCCGACCUGAGAGUGUGAUCAGCCACACGGGAACUGAGACACGGUCCAUACUCCUACGGGAGGCAGCAGUAGAGAAUCUUCCGCAAUGGGCCAAAGCCUGACGGUGCAACGCCGCGUGAGUGAUGAAGGUCUUCGGAUCGUAAAACUCUGUUAUUAGAGAAGAACAUAUGUGUAAGUAACUGUGUACAUCUUGACGGUACCUAAUCAGAAAGCCACGGCUAACUACGUG